rnacentral:lncRNA from 1 species
CUCACAGUCUCCUGCAAGUGCCAGAUGAAGCUGUGUUGAUCAGAUAUUUUGUAAGACACUGAGCCCUGGGGAGAAGACAUGACCUCAUCACCUUCCCACAAUUUUGUCCAGUUCUGUGCAAUUACUGCAACAUGGCACUGAAAGACUCAGACUUUCAAUUCAGCUGAAUAGAAGUGAAGCCCUGAUUGAGUGGUUCAGCUCAGCACAAAGAACUAGAGCACAAUGAGGAGUUCUCCUUUGUUAGUAAUCCCGCAGCACCUCUCUUCAAGCUAUUUUGUUACUUGCCAGGUCAAAAUAAGAAAGUGAGUCUGCAAAGUUCUCAGCUGUAUUCAUUUCCUGCCUGCCCCAUCGUUAUAUGGCCAGCAUCUCUGAUUAGUUCUAUUUACAUAUUACAUACAUCACUGUCACAAUUAAUCUACAGGAAGCUGGUUUCUCAG